rnacentral:rRNA from 1 species
CCUACGGGCGGCAGCAGUGGGGAAUAUUGGACAAUGGGCGAAAGCCUGAUCCAGCCAUGCCGCGUGCGUGAAGAAGGCCUUCGGGUUGUAAAGCACUUUCAGUGGGGAAGAAAGCCUUGGGGCUAAUACCCUCGAGGAAGGACAUCACCCACAGAAGAAGCACCGGCUAACUCCGUGCCAGCAGCCGCGGUAAUACGGAGGGUGCGAGCGUUAAUCGGAAUUACUGGGCGUAAAGCGCGCGUAGGCGGUCUGAUAAGCCGGUUGUGAAAGCCCCGGGCUCAACCUGGGAACGGCAUCCGGAACUGUCAGGCUAGAGUGCAGGAGAGGAAGGUAGAAUUCCCGGUGUAGCGGUGAAAUGCGUAGAGAUCGGGAGGAAUACCAGUGGCGAAGGCGGCCUUCUGGACUGACACUGACGCUGAGGUGCGAAAGCGUGGGUAGCAAACAGGAUUAGAUACCCCGGUAGUC